rnacentral:rRNA from 1 species
AUGUAAGUCGAGCGGGGGAAGGUAGCUUGCUACCGGACCUAGCGGCGGACGGGUGAGUAAUGCUUAGGAAUCUGCCUAUUAGUGGGGGACAACAUCUCGAAAGGGAUGCUAAUACCGCAUACGUCCUACGGGAGAAAGCAGGGGAUCUUCGGACCUUGCGCUAAUAGAUGAGCCUAAGUCGGAUUAGCUAGUUGGUGGGGUAAAGGCCUACCAAGGCGACGAUCUGUAGCGGGUCUGAGAGGAUGAUCCGCCACACUGGGACUGAGACACGGCCCAGACUCCUACGGGAGGCAGCAGUGGGGAAUAUUGGACAAUGGGGGGAACCCUGAUCCAGCCAUGCCGCGUGUGUGAAGAAGGCCUUAUGGUUGUAAAGCACUUUAAGCGAGGAGGAGGCUACUUUAGUUAAUACCUAGAGAUAGUGGACGUUACUCGCAGAAUAAGCACCGGCUAACUCUGUGCCAGCAGCCGCGGUAAUACAGAGGGUGCGAGCGUUAAUCGGAUUUACUGGGCGUAAAGCGUGCGUAGGCGGCUUAUUAAGUCGGAUGUGAAAUCCCCGAGCUUAACUUGGGAAUUGCAUUCGAUACUGGUGAGCUAGAGUAUGGGAGAGGAUGGUAGAAUUCCAGGUGUAGCGGUGAAAUGCGUAGAGAUCUGGAGGAAUACCGAUGGC